AUUGAACGCUGGCGGCAUGCCUUACACAUGCAAGUCGAACGGCAGCACGGGAGCAAUCCUGGUGGCGAGUGGCGAACGGGUGAGUAAAGUAUCGGAACGUGCCCAGUCGCGGGGGAUAACGUAGCGAAAGUUACGCUAAUACCGCAUACGAUCUAUGGAUGAAAGCGGGGGAUCGCAAGACCUCGCGCGAUUGGAGCGGCCGAUAUCAGAUUAGGUAGUUGGUGGGGUAAAGGCUCACCAAGCCGACGAUCUGUAGCUGGUCUGAGAGGACGACCAGCCACACUGGGACUGAGACACGGCCCAGAAUCCUACGGGAGGCAGCAGUGGGGAAUUUUGGACAAUGGGCGAAAGCCUGAUCCAGCCAUGCCGCGUGCAGGAUGAAGGCCUUCGGGUUGUAAACUGCUUUUGUACGGAACGAAAAGGUUUGGCCUAAUAAGCUGAGCUCAUGACGGUACCGUAAGAAUAAGCACCGGCUAACUACGUGCCAGCCGCCGCGGUAA
rnacentral:rRNA from 1 species